UGUAAGCGUAUACCAAAGUUGUUGCAGUUAAAACGCUCGUAGUCGGAAUUUGGCAGUUCCGGAUGUGUGCACGUCGUGUGCGCACUUCACGGGGAUUGCUUUUGUGGUCUUGCGUAGGAUGAGGCACUUUUAUUAGUGAACGUCCUCACGCAACCACUUUUUACUGUGAGAAAAUCAGAGUGCUCAAAGCAGGCAUUUGCCGUGAAUGUAUUAGCAUGGAAUAAUAGAAUAGGACUUGGUUCUAUUUUGUUGGUUUGUUGGGACUGAGUAAUGAUUAAGAGGGACAGUUGGGGGCAUUUGUAUUUCGGUGCUAGAGGUGAAAUUCUUAGAUUACCGAAAGACAAACUGCUGCGAAAGCGUCUGCCAAGGAUGUUUUCAUUGA
rnacentral:rRNA from 1 species